ACUUUCCUGAAGAUGGAAGAAGAGAGGGAGAGAAAGGAAAGAGACAGGAAGCUGAAGUUAGUCUUUAUCUGGGGUAGAUACUGGAAUUGAUUUUUAUCAUUCCAUGUAGUACAGAGUCAUUCAACUCUAUGCAUAAAAGAUACUUCCCAAAAGCCAGCUUUUAUUGAAGUUCCUGCAUCUGUCUUUCACAAGGAUUGGACUGGAAGCAGUUGUUAUUGACAAAUUUAUAUUUUUGAGCUUCAGGUUGACUGUAAGCAAACAUUACUGCACUGUAGAGCCAAAUGUAACCAGAUUCACCUCCCUUGGCACCAGAACACAUCGUGUAGUUGCAAGAUAGAGAGUUGGCAUCUAUGCACGUCUGACUUGUGAAAUUCACUGUUUUCUGGGUCUGAACAUAGUAAUUAUUUGGAUACACUGAAAUGGGUAUCCUAAAUCAAUCUUUAUAACAGAAUCACACUGCACUAUAUUGUGAAAAACAAAGAAUGGCUGAGUUAUGAGUCAUAAAUGAGGAGUUAUGAGUCAUAAAUGAGAAGGUGGCUCAGGCAAGAAUGGGAUAGGGCAAUGCCAUAUUUAAGCACAACAGAGACCACCACAAAAACUUGCAGGCAUGCAUUAGCAUAACCACAUGCCAAACUGUCAGGUUGCAAAAUUAGACUGAGCAUGUCAAAAAGGAAAGUUAACAGCUUCUCCUUUCCCUCACACUGAAAUCAUGCUAUAUUCCUUUAAACUGGGUUGCUGUAGAGAAAACAGGAAGCACUCUCCUUCUUCGGGACAUAACGCGCUGCAUCCACAGCAUGCCCAGACUCUUAGUCCAGAGAGUAAGAACAGCACCAAGCCAGAACUCCAGAUCUCUAGCAUGGUUGUGUCUGCUUCCACCAGGCCAGUUGUGGAGAAAACCCCAAAAGAUGUGUGCCAAACGUGAGCCAACAAACAGUGAGUCUGCAGAGCACCCAAAACAAUAGCUGUGAGGUGUGACUUGCCCUACUUAUUUCAAGAAAAGCUCCAUGGACUCUGCAUUUCCACGGCUAUGGAAUUUUGCCACUGUCAAUCACUUGACGUUUUGUUUUCUGUCUCCCUGCAUUUGCCCCUGCUCUCCAACAGCACAGCAGUUAAGGCCCUAGGAAGAUGAAGUGCUGAAGCCAGCUACAAGUUCCUCCCUUCCGGGGAAGGAGAUUCUGAACUGGGCUGCCUAGACAACACUGCAGGAGCUGAUGCAAGGGGAAUGGAGCCACCAGGAUAGCAAAAAAAAACAAAAACAAAAACACAACAAAAAACCACCCCUCAUUCUCAAAAAUAAUCAACAAAUUUUAAGUUUACUGAGUAUUUCCACUAUGAGCCAUAGAAGUGCUUGUGUGGGGCAGAGGGGAUUGGGAAUAAAGGGUAUUUCCAUGGUGAUAAAACAGACUAAUACAGCUGUCUCAUUUGGUCCCACUGUUGAAGAGUACAACAGGCCCUGGCUACAUGUAGCUACUAGAUCACAUGGAGAAAAAUGACAGAGACAUGAAAGAUGAAGCCACAAGGCAGGACUUUACAAGCAUCUCACUUACGGCAAGCGUUUUAAGUUCAGAACUUUGCCACUAAACAUUUCAGUGCUCCAGGGUAAAAAGUAAUUCAGCCAAUAGCAUUCAAAUGGCAUUAAACAAAACAAAACCUUUUGUCAAACUGCUGGAUGGCUCAUGUAUUGGCACAACCUACUGAACUAUCACCAUUCAGGUAGGGAUAAAACCCCAACAGGUAAUACCGCAUCAUUCAUCUUAAAAUAUGCCUAUGUUCAGACACCCUCAUUUGGUUUUUUAUAAGAAUCAUGUCAUGAAAACUUUAAAGCAGACCAAGCAUACACUAUUCUCCCAACUAUUAUUACAAAAAGAGGGCUACAACUCAGAGGAACGAAGGUAGAUCAAUACAAUGGAGUCACUCACAAACAUCUGGGAAUUACUUGCAGUUCACACAGACUGAAAGCCAUCAGUGAAAUACAAUGAAUGGCCUGUAAAUGGGGUACUAAUAAACAAACAAUGUUUGUUUUUAUUCAGACAAACUCACCUUUCUGUAAUCCAGUCUUCACUGCUGUCUGUGGAACCAUUUCUACCUGUUUGGACAGGAAAAUCUAUAGUUAACAGAGGAAUUUUUUCCCCUAGUAUAAAAAAGAAAAAACAUCCAAGUUUAAGUGAUUAGCAUAUCUGAACUCAGAUGUAGUCUGGCAGUCGCCUUCUCAGUGUAAGCCUUCUGUCCUGCUGGGAUUUAAUCCUAGCUGCCUAGGCUGAAUACCAGGUGAUAAGGCAGCCAUAUGUUCAAUAGCAAGGUCCUUUCCAAUCACUCCCUUUGUGCUUGAAGACAACAGGAAAACUUUAUCCAUGUCCAGCAGGCAGGAGAGGGGUUCAUUCCUGUAGCCAACCCUGAUGCUGUUGUAAAACCCAACACCUGUUAAGGUAAACUUGUACUUAUACAGGUCUGACUCAGGUUAGUGAGACACUUAAUGUAUUGCCGUUUUAAGGCACUUCCAUCAAGCAUGCACUCUUGAGCUUCUGGGGAUAUGGACCUUCUCUCUGUAUAGAGGGCUGCAAGGCCCAUAAAGGUGGGGAUGAGGACUCCAUAUAGAGCAUUGCAGAGCUCUAUACAGCUGGAAACUCAUGUCAGUACAAACUUAAGUAGACAAGUUUGUGAUCUUCCAAAAGCACGUCACGUUCUUGGUCCUACAUCAGAAGGAUGAAAUUAGAAAUUUUUCUGCCAAUAUACAUGUAAUACAUGUGAGAAUUUGGUGAUAAAAAGCAUAAUUAAAGGAAGAAAGUUGUUUCCUAAGGUCCUGGUUUUAGGCUAAGAAUUGCAGGCUUUUAUUUCUUUGCAAUGUGGUUAACAAAGCAUAUAGAAACACAUUUAGUAAAUAUUUAAGGAUUAAUCUAAAUUUUUUUAAAAAAUAUUUUAUUUUGUUGUACAAUAGGUAAAAACAUACAAUAGAAGGAUUUGUAUAGGAUACAGUUCGUAAUACAAAUAUAAAAUCUAAACAAUCACUUGUAUUUCUCUAUUUCUCACUGUAACAGUAGCAUUAACAUUUUGUUUUUCCCAUUUGUAUUCAUUCCAGUUAUAAAUUUAAACCAAGUGGUCACAGACUGAAUUUGGGAAUCAGUUGCAAGAAAACUUGACUUUGGGUAACAAAUAUUGUUGCAUAAUUGUAAGAAGUUAGUAAGACUUAUUUUGAAUAUAAUUUAAUACAUUCAAAGUUAUGUGCAUUACAGUGCAUCUUUGAUUAUUUUAUUACGUUUUAGUCACAUACUUUGCCUGAGAAAAGCAAUUUAAUGUACUAUGUUGCCUUAGUUAGCUACAUAGUAUAAGCAAGCAAAGCUAACCUGGAACCACAAUGUUCCUAUUGUUGGUUCUUAUACCUUUGUUAAAUUAAGGAGAAUUUGCAACUGCAAAAGGAUUUAUUUAAAAAUAGGGGAAUCGCAACUUCUCACAUCAAGAAGUUAAAGGGCCUACGUGUCAGCUAUUUUACAUCCAACAGGUUGCCUUUUAAAAAAAAUGGUUUCAGUGACAAACUUUUUUUAGAGUUAAAUUUCCUUCUGUCACUUUGGCAACCCAAACAUGGAAGUGUCAUACUAGUGCAUCAGAACCAAAAUAUGAAACUUAAAAAAAAAAAAAAAAAAUAGACAAGGCCUAUUUUCAGCCUUUAAGAUGAUUGAAGUGCAAUAAAAUAAAAUAAAGUGUAAUGGGCAAAGAAUAAAUUAGGGGUUUUUUUUAAAUAUUUAUUUUACUCUAAUGAAGUUUAAAAAAAAAACUUUAACCUGCGUCCCUUUUUAAAAAAGCCCAUUGGAAAAAACUGUAUUAAGAAACAUUUGUUCUACAAAAGUUUCAGGUUUCAAGGGUGGGUGCCCUUAUGGUUUAAAUAUGGAAAAAUUGAUAGUAAGGAAAAGAACCAACAACUCUGACAAACUUGUUAAAUAAGUGUAUUGAGUUAAAUAUUUAAGUAUGUCACCUGCUCAACUUGCCUACUCAUCUCCACUCAGAAUUUUUUUUUUUUAAAUAAAGCAACAACAUUUGUCUGUCUGGCAUUCGGAUUAAAAGAGUGCCCUGUACAUGUUCUACUUAAGGGGGAGAAAAAAAAAAUCUAAGAUUUGUUUUUUUGUUUAUGUCUGCCAACAUAAAAGUCAGAUUAUUCAUCUUUAAAAUAGAUCAUUCUUAGAGUCCAUUUUCAAAAGUGAUCAAAUAAAUCAGAAACUUUGAAAAACAAAACCUCAAUACAAACCAGCAGCUAAACCAAGAGUAAGAAGAGGAAGGAACCUGGUGGCAAUUCCAUCAAAUAGAUAUUAUUAAAACAUAAAAUCAUUUUGCUCACAACAGAAAUCUCAAAGUUAACAUGUCAGGUUCAUUAGGAGUCUUGCAUCAUUGAGUUCCCAUUAUCCAAAGCCUGAACUGAUACUGUGAAGAUGCCAGUAGCAGAGUCACAGCAAUAAUGGUACAGACAGGGGGAUUUCAUGAAGGAUAGUCCAAAAAGGAAACUCGAUGGGCAAAAUGGAGAAAAAUAAAAAGGCACCAAUAUAAGCCACAACAUUUAUGAAUACAAAAUAUAUUUUAACUCUCUACAUGGAGGAAGCCAACCUGCU